rnacentral:lncRNA from 1 species
GGGAUUUAUGUUAGGAAAUGUGUUAUACAACACAUUCAACUACCACACAAAAUCCUGGCAUAGAGUGGAUUUGUGCUUUUAAAUAUGUUUGCUUGUUGUGGUCAGCCCAAGGGAGAAGUAAAUAGUUACUGAAUAAAAUCAUCCCUAUGAAAUGUAAUAAAGGUUAAAUACAUCCCCAGAUAGUAGUAAAGUGCUAAGUUAAAAGUUAAUGCCUUGCUAUAUUACACUCCUCAGCAGGACAAGAGCAGUAUUAUGACAAAACAAAUCACAGCAAGAUGGAAUACUGUUUGCAUUAGAAACAAUUUCCUUUUCCAGACCUAUAUUCUUCAAUGCUUUGCAUAGAAUAAGAAGUGGCAUAAUUGCUUAAAUGUUAUCUUUCACAUACAGAUUUUUCUGAAGGUCAUAUGAUGAUUAAGCCAAAUAUACCCAUUCUUUCUUGCACCUUUAGCCCUACUACCAAUGAAAAUUAUCAAGAACACACAUUCCACUGCAGAUGCUCAGAGCUCAGAAAAUUUACUCAAAUAGGACAGCAUGUUUGCUAGCCUUUUGUGCUCUUUCAACCUCUGCUUUUCAUCUGGAACAUAAUUCUGAGAAUUUUAAAGAAUGCCUAAGACAGAGCUACAUAGGUGUCAAUAUUCACUGCAAUCAAAAUCAGAAAAAGACGUGACUGACACAACUCAAUACAAGGUGGAUGAAGGCAAAGAUGACAGUGAUGGGAAUCUGAGCUUUUGUAGCCUCUGUGGGUUUAUCAAUUUUGCAUUUUCUGGGAUAAGAAAAACUGAGAGACUAAUAACAGGACACUUGUUUAGAAACACCUUUGCUUCCUAAGAAUUGUUUGAGUAAAAACCUCAAAAAAAUGAAUCACAUUCAUGUUAUAGUUGAUCUUACUGUGUAUUAUGAAUCUGUAAAAAAAUAAAGCAAGGAUGCUCUAGAUAAGUCA